CCCUUGGAGGACUAGUGAUUGGGACACAGCGCUCUCACCGCUGCAGCCCGGGUUCGAUUCCCGGCCAGUGAA
rnacentral:tRNA from 1 species